CAUGAAGAAGAGGCACCAGCCCCUGACAGCUGGUGGCUCUUUCCGUGGUUUAUGGCCGGAUGCUGGUCAUCUACAGGACGGGAGGCCCCAAGAGGCCGGGUUCGCUUGGCUGGCAGCUGCAUCCCAGCAUCGGUCAUCGUGCACACGUGCCAAAUGGAUGAAGAUAUGCCUGACCGGCCCCUACUUCCCGACCUGCCUCCCGCAAUUGGCUUGUCUGGAGAGGAGGUGUAAGGAGAAUGAAGCUGGAACACCUGAAUUCUACCAUCCAGGAGUCUGAAGACAAAUGAAGUAGGAAAGGUCCUCACCUGUAAUGGGGAGGACAAGGACGCUCCUGGCCACAGGCUGGCACAUCCCGCAGUCAGCGGCGGUGACCC